CGUCUUGUUCAUUUAGCUCAUAAGCCAUGACAGAAAAUAUUGAUGACUGAUUUGUUAUGAGAGAAAAUCAUUGUUGGAUGGCUGAUAAAUUCGGCUGAUAAGCUCAAGCGAAUAGGCUAACCCAAGAAGUUUUUUUCAGUGGCUAAGUUUGUACUAUUUGCAUACUGGUGGGAAUUUUGUUCACUUGAAGUCACAGUCACUGAUUGGUUUACCAAGAUUUCUAUUCUCGAUCAGCGCUUUCCAAAAUUGCCACUCUCUAUCAGCACGACUCGCUUUCCAAAUCCAACGGUUCAUCGAGUUUGAAAGGAUAUCUUCGUCGAUGGCCUGAUGCUCCAAGUUUGCGCAUUAAGACUGUCUCCAACAGCUCAUGCAAAGGGAGACCUAAACCUAAAAUAGGUAGUGCACAGUGUAAAUAGGUGAUGAAAACUGGCUCUAACAGACAGGGACGAAGCCAGAAAAAAAAUUUAGGAGGGGCUGAACAAAAGUUAUAUAUCAACUUAGCUCUACUAUUACUCUUCGUAAAUAUAGAUUAACGAUGAAAUUCACAAAAUAUAUCUAAAAAAUAAAGUGUUCAGUCCACCCUACCUUAUAAAUUUGUGUCUAAAAUUAGAAGAAUAGCACUAAAAAUUCCACUGGGCCAGCAGCGGUAGGAGGGGCUGGAGCCCCCCUAGCCCCCCUGCUGGCUUCGUCGCUGCCAACAGAAGACUCAAAGCAAGUAGUCAUUUUGGGUGGAGGCCAACAACAACGCAAAUUUGCAUCGUCUUUCUGCAAGACGCAAAGUCUUCGACGCCCGUAGUGGUGGGGUCGAGGUGGAGCAGUGGUGGGUGCAAGGUGGGAACACAGCGGGAGCUCACCGGUGACAGAGCCUGAAGACGACGGUGAGGCGGGACUGACGACAGCGAGGCAGCAAGGGAGGCGCCGCCGCCAUGGGAGCACCUCCGGAGCCGCACGGCUUGGCUGCCUCGUCGGGAAGGAAGGAGGCCACGCAGGGGAGGAAGCUCGCCGACGAGGAGGGGGGGCAACAAAGACGGCGAGGUGGGGAGGGAGGCGAGCGGCGCCAUGGGAGCACCUCUGGAGCCGCCGGCUUGGCUGCCUCCCCGGAUCUGGGCUGGGAGGAAACGCUUGAGGGAGGGAGGGAGGGGAGGGAGGGAAGAAGAGAGGAGGCCGUGCAGGGGAGGGCGCUCACCGGCAAGGGAGCCGACGACGACGGUGAUGUGGGCCCAAGACAACAACGGGGGCGAGACGGAGUUCACCAGGAAGCUGGGGUCGUUGUUGGAGAAGCACGGUUUUAGGUCUGUGACCCAUCUGGUGCAGGGAACCCAAAUCGUAGAAUGGGUCACCGAUUUAGCUAUCGGUUGUUGGAGACAGCCUUAU
rnacentral:lncRNA from 1 species